rnacentral:rRNA from 1 species
AUGUUUGACGGAGUUGAGCGGAUGCUUCGAGGAGUCAGGCAUGUGCCAGGGCUAAGGAGGAAUCUAAUUUCGCUUGGAGUUCUUCAUGAUGGUGGUAUGGUAUUCCGUUGUGAUCGGGAUAAGAAGACCAUGAGAAUCAUGAAAGAUGAGGUGACCGUGAUAAUUGAAGGGAGGACGGCUUCGCAUCUUUACAAGUUGUAA